UGCUAGUCGAGCGCUUCAAGCCAAAAAGAGGCGCGGCAUACAGCUCAGUAACACGUGGCUAAUCUGCCCUUGGGAUAGGAAUAACCCCGGGAAACUGGGGCUAAUUCCCAAUAGGCGAAGAACUCUGGAAUGAGUCUUUACCAGAAAAGACGCUUGCGUUAUGCUCGUAGGCGUCGCCCAAGGAUGAGGCCGCGACCGAUCAGGUUGUUGGUGAGGUAAUGGCUCACCAAGCCUUUUACCGGUGCGGGCCGUGAGAGCGGGAGCCCGGAGAUGGGCACUGAGACAAGGGCCCAGGCCCUACGGGGCGCAGCAGUCGCGAAAACUUUGCAAUAAGCGAAAGCUUGACAGGGCUAUCCCGAGUGCCAUCCGCUGAGGAAGGCUUUUACCCAGUCUAGAACGCUGGGGGAAUAAGGAGAGGGCAAGUCUGGUGUCAGCCGCCGCGGUAAUACCAGCUCUCCGAGUGGUGUGGAUGUUUAUUGGGCCUAAAGCAUCCGUAGCUGGCUAAGUUAGUCCCUUGUUAAAUCCACCGAAUUAAUCGUUGGAUUGCGGGGGAUACUGCUUGGCUAGGGGACGAGAGAGGCAGACGGUAUUUCCGGGGUAGGGGUGAAAUCCUAUAAUCCCGGGAAGACCACCAGUGGCGAAGGCUGUCUGCUAGAACGCGCCCGACGGUGAGGGAUGAAAGCUGGGGGAGCGAACCGGAUUAGAUACCCGGGUAGUCCCAGCUGUAAACGAUGCAGCUAGGUGUUUGGACGGCCACGUGCCGUUCUAGUGCCGCAGGGAAGCUGUUAAGCCUGCCGCCUGGGGAGUACGAUCGCAAGAUUGAAACUUAA
rnacentral:rRNA from 1 species